UUGUGUGGAGAAAAUUUUAUGAUGUGGCAGCCAUUUUGUCCCUCGAGUGAUGACAACAGUAGACAUGAAAAACAUGUUUUGAAUGUCAUUUKUUUGGACAGUAAACUGACUAAACUUGCUGCUAAAGAGAAAAURUAAUUGUAAUAAAGUAUUUUGAGUGCUUCAAGACAAGGAAGAGAGACUUUUGUAGGCAGGAAAUGUCAUAAAAGAAAGGAUUAUGCAUUCCUUCCAGCUGCCAUUUUGGAUCACUUUCGGUCAGAAAAAGAGAACAAAUUAUCCAUCAAAAGGUUGCAGGGGAGAUGGAAGAAAUCCCUUUUGGAUUCAGAUUUUUAUUGGGUUUUCAUGUCAACCAAAGACCUGAGCCACUGCUAAGCUGCAGAGCUGCAACAGUGAGGAGGUGCAUUGUGGGAUAAUGGAGGACGACGAAACUCUCCGCCGUUUUUGGACAAAAGAGACGGAAUCAAACCAAACGGAGCCUUUUUUUUCUGCAAAAAAAAAAAAAAA